AUGAAAUGAACCAUUAAUGGAAAGGUUUUUUCAGGUUUGUUAGACACUGGAGCUGAUGUCUCUGUUAUGACGCAGGUACACUGGCCUAAACGUUGGCCCAUUAGUCCUACUAUUACAGAACUUCACGGAAUAGGACAAAGUUCUUCUCCUAUGCAAAGUAGUCAGUUUUUUUUAUGGCAAGAUAGUGAGGGCCAUUCAGGAUAUUUCCAGCCUUAUGUUUUGCCUGGGCUGCCUUUAAACCUCUGGGGCCGAGAUAUAUUAAAAGAAAUGGGAGUAUUACUUUAUAGUCCAAACUCUCAAGUCUCUAAUAUGAUGUUGGAUCAAGGAUUUCUUCCCACAAAAGCGCUGGGAACAAAUCAACAAGGAACUGUCUAUCCUAUUGAUGUGAAAAUAAAAAAUGAUAGACAAGGUUUGGGUUUUUCUUAGGGGCCUUGGAUUCUCCACUCACUGCUGAUCCAAUUACUUGGCUGACUGAUGACCCUGUAUGGGUGGACCGAUGGCCCCUCACAAAGGAGAAAUGAGAAGCUGCAGAACAAUUAGUACUGGAACAAUUAGGGCAUUUAGAAAUUUCCAGUAGUCCUUGGAAUACUCCUAUUUUUAUUAUCAAGAAAAAAUCUGGAAAAUAUAGGUUAUUACAGGAUCUAAGAGCUGUUAAUAAAACUAUGCUAAUAAUGGGAGCUCUUCAACCAGGCCUACCCUCUCCAACAGCCAUACCACACAAUUAUCAUCUUUUAGUUAUAGAUUUAAAAGAUUGUUUUUUCACUAUUCCUUUGUUUCCUGAAGAUAGAAAACAUUUUGCUUUUAGCUUGCCUGCCUUAAUUUUUAAGGAACCCAUGAGGAGAUUUCAAUGGAAAGUAUUGCCUCAGGGCAUGGCAAAUAGUCCUACAUUAUGCCAAAAAUAUGUGGCUCAGGCCUUGACUCCUGUGAGAAAAAGGUUUCCAUCGUUAUAUCGCAUACAUUAUAUGGAUGAUAUACUUUUAGCCACGGAUAAUAUUUCUUUAUUAGAGACUGCUUUUCAAUUUUUACAACAGUCCUUACAAUCAUUUGGCUUGGUCAUUGCCUCAAGAAAACUUCAAAGACAAUCUCCAUUUUUAUAUUUGGGAAAAUAUAUUGAUAACACUACUAUUAGGCCUCAAAAACUGCAAAUUCGAGUUGAUAAUUUAAAAACAUUAAAUGCUUUUCAAAAAUUACUUGGAGAUAUUAAUUGGCUAAGGCCUGCCUUAAAACUUACUACUGCUCAAUUACAGCCUUUGUUUGAUAUUCUUAAAGGUGACUCAGAUCCUUCUUCUUCACGCUCUAUGACUCCAGAAGGAUUUCAAGCUUUACAAAUAGUCAAUAGAUCUGUCAGUUCUACACAAUUAACUAGAAUUCAUACUCACCUUCCUAUUUUCUUAAUAAUUUGUCCAACUCCUCAUGUGCCUACUGCCGUCUUAUGGCAAACUGUUGGAAUUAUUGAAUAGAUUCAUAUGAAAUCUACACCCUCUAAAGUUAUUAACCCUUAUUAUGAACUUAUUAGUAAUUUAAUAAUGCAAGGUAGAACUAGAUGCUUACAACCUAUAAGUAUAGAACCUUCUCAAAUUAUUAUCCCUGAUUCAGUUAGUCAACAAAAUUGGCUUUUUCAACAUAGUAAUGAAUGGGGUCUUGCUCUUGCAGGAUUUUCAGGUACCUUGGAAUGCCAUUACCCUGCUGAUAAAUUGAUCCAAUUCAGCAAACUUAACUCAUAUCUUUCCUUCUAUAAUUAGGCAACAGCCUGUCCCUCAUGUACCUUUGGUUUUUACGGACGGUUCUUCUUCAGGAGUGGCUACUGUAAUCAUUGACGAUGGAACAAACCUCGUUAAAGAAACUUCCUUGACUUCAGCUCAACGUGUUGAACUCUUAUUCGUUCCCAUGAUGGUCCUGUUGCAGGUCUGUAUAUCCGUGCUCAUUCUAACUUGCCUGGUCCAUUGACUAAACUUAAUGCGACUGCAGAUGUUUUAACUCGAUCUAAACGUGAUCUUUAUCCUGUACAUUUUCCUCCCAAGAAUAGAGUUGAAGUUACUCCUCCUCCUCAAUCUCUUUUCCCUAAAGCAGGACAUGUCCCAAUUUACCGUACUCCUCCUUUCCGUUCGUCAUGCUGUCAAGAAUGGCUAAUAUACUGCAUUCAUUAUCUCCAUACUCUUGAUACUCAUGGUCCAUGUCCUGGACACCCUCAUAUUAUGGUAAGUUAUGAUCAAACUGCUUCACAAGCAGCACAGCAGUUGCACGCUUUACACCGUCAGUCAGCGGCUACAUUACACACACAAUUUUCCCUUACUCGUGAAGCCGCCCCACAAAUUGUUAAGCAGUGCCCACAAUGCUUACCUCACCUUCCUGUUCCACAUUAUGUUGUUAAUCCUCGUGGAUUAUUACCUAGACAUUUAUGGCAAAUGGAUGUUACUCAUAUCCCGUCUUUUGGGAAAUUACAGUUUGUUCAUGUCACUAUCGAUACUUAUUCUGGUUUCCUCUGUGCUACAGCACAGACCGGAGAAGCUACUAAACAUGUUAUCACUCAUUUAUUACACUGUUUUGCUUUCAUGAACCUUCCCAAAAUUAUUAAAACCGAUAAUGGGCCCGCUGCUUUUGCAACAUUUUGUAAUUCAUUACAAAAUUACCCAUAUUACAGGCAUUCCAUAUAACCCUCAAGGACAAGGUAUUAUAGAACGUGCAAAUAGAUCUUUAAAGCUAACUAUUGAAAAAAUAAAAAGGGGGGAAUUGUAUAGAACAACGCCACAUAACCUUAUAAAUGAUGCUCUGUUUAUUUUAAAUGUUCUCACUGUUGACAAAUUUGGCUGCUCUGCAGGGGGAAGGUUGGUGGCUGAGCCAAGAUUGGCCUCUCAAUCUCCGGAGGUCCUCUGGAAAGAUCCGUUAACCAGCACUUGGCGUGGUCCUGAUCCUGUGUUGAUUUGGGGACGUGGUCACGUGUGUAUGUUUCCCAGAUCAGCGCCUGGACCUCGCUGGCUUCCUGAGCGCUUAGUCAAGCAAAUAGAUGGCUCGCCACAGCUCACCUAGUUCAGAAGAUGAAGAAGCUCUGCACCUCUCCUGAAAAUUUGACAGUGUUGAUUGAGAAAAAGAAGAAGAAGAGGAGACCACUUGCCAGGACGACCCAAAGGAGUGAUGUUCCAACUUGGGGACAAAUUAAACAACUGGUUUCAUGAGCUCAAGAGUCAGUGAAACAACAGAAUAAUCCUGUUACACCUGUAACUUUAUUUUUGGCUAUGUUGGCAACCAUUUCAUGUGUUCCCUCUGUUAAUGCAGCAACUUACUGGGCCUAUGUACCUGAUCCUCCACUAUUACAACCCAUAUCUUGGUCUGAAGCAGAGUUUCCUGUAUUUUACAAUGAUAACUGUUUAUGGGCCUCUUAUUGGGAAUAUAAAACAAAUCAAUAUGUCUGUAAAUUAUACUAACUGGUUUAGUACCCAUCCUGUCUGUCUUAGCCCAUUGAAUCUGGAAACUGGAUGUGUAAAGGCUAUUAGUUAUGAGCAUACAGAUGUUUAUGAGGGAACGGAUCAAUCAAUUAGUUUGUCAGGCUCUCCAGGCAUCCUUCGUUUUACAGGAACCAACAUUACUCUUACAUGCCACGCUACCAGCCGACGAGAGGAUCUUAAGGAUACCAUCAUUUGGUAUAAAAUGGGCAAGCUAUUAAUAUUAGAGGUCAAAUCUCAUACGCCUCACCACUUAGGGAUUCCGCUAUUACUAUAGCCAAGGUUACAGGUGAAGAUUCAGGAAAUUAUUUCUGUAUGAAGCGUUUACUUGGAGGACAAGGGAUACUUAUAGCUGAACAUAAGGUUACUAUGCUUAACAGAAAAUCAAAAAAUCAAUUGCCUCCCUUUAUGACCGUUAACUUUCCUGGAUCCAAUUUUGAACAUUGCAAUGCAUCUUGGAAUAAUAACCAAAUAUGGUGUACUAUAGAUUAUACCAAGGUGUCAAUUCUUAUCUCUUCUUUUCCCAUCAUAGAUAGGUUUAUCACAUUUCAAAAGAACUGGGAUAUAUGGAAACUAGCUCUAACUUAUUCCAAUACACCUGUUAUAACUUGUGUUGCUCCUCCAUAUACACGUUUGUGUGGUUCUAUUAACAUUGGUAAUUCUUCCAAAGGAGGAUAUAAUAUUAGCUGUGUUAAUUGUAUUUUUAGCAGUUGUAUGUUCCCUUCUGCAGGAACGCAAUCUGUGCUUAUACUAAAGCAACCCAUGUAUGUUAUGGUGCCUGUACAUCUGAGAGAACCUUGGUAUGAAGAUACUGGAGUACAGGCAUGGGUGGAACUCUCUAAAGCCUUGCAGAGAAGGAGACGUUUUCUUGGGUGGCUAAUAGUAAGCUUACUUGCCUCAGCUGCUGUGUCUGCUACUGUGGCUACUGCCGGUCUUGCUCUUUCACAGAGUAUUCAUCAUGCUCACUUUGCUAAUCAGUUAUCUCAACAUAGCAGUCUUGCUUUAUCUUUACAAAGUCACAUAUAUUUACGGAUUAAUAACAAGUUAGAUGAAUUUAAAAACGCAAUUUUGGGGAUUGGAGAUCAGAUGGCAGCAUUAAAAUUGAGGAUGCGUCUAGCUUGUCAUGCAAAGUAUACAUGGAUGUGUGUUACUCCUUAAAAGUACAGUGACUGUAUUUGGGAAUGGGAAAAAGUAAAAAUGCAUCUGCUGAGUGUUUGGUCAGAUAAUAAUAUUAGUCUUGAUCUUAAGAAAUUAAAUGCUGAAAUUCAGGAUAUACAAAAUACACAUCUUGAUGAUGUUUCGCCAGAAGAUGUAAUUCAAACUUUACUGGAUCAUUUAAAGUGGUUAAACCCUCAGUCUUGGAUUACUGGAAGGUUGUCAGGAUUUAUUACCCUGGCCAUAAUUUGCCUAUUAUUGAUAAUAAUCUUCUCAUGUCUGUUUCGUAUCCUCAUGCAACAGUACACUACUCUCGGCACUAAACUUCAUGGAAUUAUUUUGCAGCAAAAGUUAAAAAAUAAAAAUGGGGGACCUGUGGGAAGCAGUCAGCCUUGAGAGCAGGUAAGGACAUGCUAGGCAUGCCGCCGCUGCUCGAAGGGACUGUCCCUACUUGUUCCCCUCCUUGUUCCAUUCCAUGGGAGAUAAAUCACCAGGGCCCAGAGAUCAGAAAGAAUGUAAAAUGAGACAAGCAAAGCUGUCUCCCCCCUGCACAUGCAGGUUAUUUUUGAUGCUUCUGGGUUUAUGGGUUUCCUCCCAGGGAAGUUAACCUUGAGCCGAGACAGUCUGUAGAUAAUGUAAACCACCAUCUGGCAACCUUCCUUUUUCUAGUCUAGAUAAUCUGCAACUGUAGCGCAAUAAAAUUUGCCUUGCAACCAUCA